rnacentral:lncRNA from 1 species
UCACAAUCUCGAAUAAUGAUAACCUUAAGCUCAAAUACCACUUAAGUCAUAUUCUCUAAUAAUCAUAAUCUAAACUUUAUAUCAUUCUAUCACGUCCUUAAUGAUCAUAAUCUUAAGCUCUGAUGUUAUCCAUUAUACUCCACUCGGUCACAUCCUAUUGAUCAUACAUAAAAUUUUGAUAUCACUUUAUAAUCUCAAUGAUCUUAAACCUAAGCUCUGAUAUUAUUCUAUCAUAUCUUAAUCAUUUAUAUUAUUUAUAUCAUAAU